AGAAAUGUUAAAAAUCUUAUGCCUACGUGUAUAAUCUGUAUACAUUUUCUAGGGGUUUGGAACUGAUGAGAGAGGUCCUACAUGAAUCACGCUAUUGUAGGCCAGACUAGUUACAGCAGCUGUUAACGAGCAUCGGGCACAACUCAUACUGUGCUUACAAUCAGACGAUGGGUUUUGGAGGUUUAUCAACUCCUCGGCUUCAAUCCUUCCGUUGCUUCCUCGGCUUCACAUUGUUUUCCAGGGAAGAAAAGCUGUUGGUGUGUCCGUUCACCGCAGCCACAGACCCAUUCUGGUGGUCCUUCAGAUGCUCUUUUCUCCGCGAGGCCCCCUUCUUGUUGUAAGUCUGAAACGCAUCAGGGCAGAUGGGUCACGUGACCGGCUGUUCUGCUGCGGGGUAGGGUUGGGGGGUGCCCACUUCCCUAAGCCUAGCCUUGAUUCCCGUUAGGACCCAAUGCCACUGGGAUGGAAGGUCUGCAGUCCAGCAACUCUGGGAACAUUUUUUUGCCAUUUGCCAUCACUCUUCCUUUUCUGAGGUAUAGCCCGAGGCCCUAUCCUUCAACCUCCCUCAUGCCUGACAAAUGUCCCAAAGUGUGGCAUAGAUCACCAGCGCGGCUGGACCAUGGGCUCACUCGAACACACCACCAAGUCCAAGGGUGUGGGAUGAAAGGUGCCGGUGGGCAUAAGAAAGGGGAAUGUGGCAAGGCCCCCGCGUGGCUGCGCAGCCAACUGGACUUUACUGCCUCCACAUCCCUGGCUUCUGCCCUUGCUCCUGACCUCUGGUGCCUGCCCAGAACCAGGCACUGCCCACAGGAGUAGGAGCACACCUCAUCCAGGGGAAACUGGGAGUUGCAGAGUGACCAACUGGAGAUGAUCUGCCCUAAUUGGGCCCUUCAGUGAGUAAAAUUUACCUUACAUCAUGCACUGGGGAAUGAAUGAGCCCCCACAUCUGAGCAGUGGAUGUGUGAGGAAACUGGGACAAAAGGGCAGAUUUCUAUCUACAGCUGAGGGCUAUGAGACUGCUAAAUGAAAUCACCUGUCACGUGUCUGCAGAAGUCUACACACUUUCCUAAAAUCUUGAAGACAAAGAAUAUAUAUUUAAGGUUUCAUCAAGACUGCUUUAGAGCGCCCCCCCCCUUUACAUUAUCAAUAGUGGCACUCAAAAUAAAAAAAAUAAGAUGUUAAAAAGAGCAGAUCUGUUAAAAAGUUCGGCAGUAGAGAGCCUGCUGAACAACUCUGCAUUCCCACAGGAAUCCUCAGCUUCCUUGCCAUAGAUCUAGAGCUCUGGGGUCUGGGACAGAUUUCAGUACCUUCUCUGUUGGCGGUGGUCCCCCUCCCAAAGGUAGGGACUGCCUUGUCACUGGGACUAAAUUAGAGCCCACUGCCUGGCACACAGGCACAGAGGUUCUACACAUCGUCCUCCUUAAAUGAAUAGAUGAGGGCUUCUGCUGGAAUGAUCUCAAGUCCCACCCAACUGCCACAGAUAGGUAAGACUCACCUGAAUAUAGAAGUUUGUGAAGAGAGCAAUCAGAGAGAUCAUGUAUCCAAUCUGGAAGUACAGCCACCCAAGGGGGAACGAACAUGGCCAGAUGACCCCACAGCUGGUCUGGAUGAUUGUCAGCACAAACUGAAGCUGGUGGGAGAGAAGGGACACAGCUGAGCAGCGCAGCCACCGCCCAAGGACAAGGUGCCACACCAGAUGGGCUCUCCAGCCAGCAUGCUGAGUGUGCGAUCAGACACUUACAGGCCUUUCUGUAGGUGAAGCCACUCCAUAAACACCAAGCAUGCAUUUUAUGCAUAAAUUGCUCCUGAAUUGCUA